rnacentral:rRNA from 1 species
AUUGAACGCUGGCGGCAGGCCUAACACAUGCAAGUCGAACGAGUGGCGGACGGGUGAGUAAUGUCUGGGAAACUGCCCGAUGGAGGGGGAUAACUACUGGAAACCGUAGCUAAUACCGCAUACCAUCGGAUGUGCCCAGAUGGGAUUAGCUAGUAGGUGGGGUAACGGCUCACCUAGGCGACGAUCCCUAGCUGGUCUGAGAGGAUGACCAACCACAAUGGAACUGAGACGCGGGCCAGACUCCUACGGGAGGCAGCAGUGGGGAAUAUUGCAAAAUGGGCGAAAGCCUGAUGCAGCCAUGCCGCGUGUAUGAAGAAGGCCUUCGGGUUAUAGAGUACUUGCAGCGAGGAGGCGUUACUCGCAGAAGAAGCACCGGCUAACUCCGUGCCAGCAGCCGCGGUAAUUC